UUUCUCUGCUCCGAUUGCAACGCUGCCUCGUUCAAAAAUCAUAACACCGCCGCGGCCGCCACGUUUACCAGCCGGAGCCUCAAAUCAUGUCCCUUUGUGGUGAUAAAGAGGACACAGCCUGGUGUGAAGCUACAUUUAUUACGGAAGGAUGCCACCCGGGAUCCGAACACGUCCGAUAUCAUCCAAGAGAAUGUGGCAGCUGAAGGGGGAGAGGCCAAGAAAGAGGCCAAGGGUGAAGACAUUUAGCCACCCCCCCUGAAGUACAUGGCAUCAUUCAACCCUCUUGGUGAGCUGCAGGAAUGUGCUUCCCAUUGCAGUGCACCAGCUCCAUGUACUGAUUUUGGGUGUGAACUUGAUGGGGUUGGAGGAAACUCGACUCGGCCAUCAAGCUCACCACAAUAUAACAUGAAAAGUGAAAAUUGCUGCACACAACAGCCUGCUGUCUGCACCGGGAGGCAAGGGAGCUCAAAGCCCAGGCUGUUACAACUCCUGGGCAGUUUUUGCCCAGAGCCAGCAAUUUUUUAGGUCCAAUAGGGAUGGAUUUCUUCUGAGGUCAGGUUCAACAUGCUGCAAGAUCUAAGCCUAGUAGGAGAUAUGGGUUACAAGAGAGGAGGUUUGCUCUGGCCUUAUACUAUCAAAGUCCAAAUGCUAAUAGAUUUCUAAGCACAGUAUUUCACUUGCCUUCAGUUUCAACACUUCACUCAUGACUCAGGGGUAUUUCAGUACAUGUUAGCUGGAGCAAACAGACUCUGACAGCCCUGCAGCAAAGAGCACAAGCUUUGUCAAAAGAAGAGAAACUUCGUGGGAUUUGCCAUUAUUUAGUAUUACUCUUGUUAUGCCAAAAAAAAAAAAAAUCCAUAUACUUUGCCAAAUAUUGCAAGUAAUGCACCAUUGUUAGUCUUGCCUGUUAUAAAUCAGAUCUUGUUCAAUUAACAAGCUUUGGGUGUCUGCCGCUUUCCAGUUGUAAUGCA